rnacentral:rRNA from 1 species
ACGGGUGAGUAGUGUGUGGAGAUCUGCCCUAUAGAGGGGGAUAACCUCUGGAAACGGUGGCUAAUACCGCAUAACCUCUCAAGACCAAAGAGGGAGACCUUCGGCCCUCUCUCUAUCAGAUGAACCCAUAUGGGAUUAUCUAGUACGGGGGGUAAUGGCCCACCUACGACAAUAUCCCUAUGUGGUCAGAGAAGAUGACCACCCACUCUGGAACUGACACACGGUCCACACUCCUACGGGAGGCAGCAGUGGAGAAUAUUGCACAGUGGGCGCAAGCCUGAUGCACCCAUGCCGCGUGUAUGAAAAAGGCCUUCGGGUUGUAAAGUACUUUCCGCGGAGAAGAAGGCGGUGAGGUUAAUAACCUUGCCGAUUGACUUUACCCGCAAAAAAAGCACCGGCUAACUCCGUGCCAGCCCCCGCGGUAAUACAGAGGGUGCAAGCGUUAAUCAAAAUUACUGGGCGUAAAGCGCACGCACGCGGUCUGUUAACUCAUAUGUGAAAUCCCCGGGCUUAACCUGAAAACUGCAUUUGAAACUGGCGCGCUUGUCUCUCGUAGAGGGG